rnacentral:lncRNA from 1 species
UUUUUUCUUUUUUUUAAAAUCCAAAAAAUCAUAAACUUAGAUAUCCAGAAAAUUAGGUCUUGGACAGCAACAUUUCUGGUAAAGUCUGGUUUACAAAUGCAAGAUAUCUCACCUCAUGUUAAUUGCACAAAUAACUCCACAUGCACAGCAGGAACAUUACCACCUUGACUAGUACAUGUGGGGUAUAAAUUUAGUACAAAUAACAUGAAAGAAGACCAUUUUACAAUAAUGAUGCAUAUUAUUUUACAAUGAAAGAUCCCAAAAUAAAUCUUUUGAGCAGACUUUCAUUAUCAUUACCAUAAGGUCCC